ensembl:lncRNA
CUCCUGGACAGAGGACACACGGGCUCAGAUCUUCUCAGAAAGCCCAGGCAGCCAUGGCCUUUUGGACACUCAGUGUGAGGAACUGGAGAGGAAGAUUGAAGGCAAGUUCAAGGAGUUUGAGGAACUGGCGGCAGUGGGGCAUACAUUGGUGUCUGAGGAGCACUAUCUGAGCGAGACGAUAAAGGAGCGCAUGGAGGAGCUGCAGAGCAUGCUGGGCUGGGUGCUGGUACGUUGGCGAGCGCAGAAACACCAGUGGGACCCUGGGAGCAAGCAGGAAGACAGAAAGAACCGUGAAAGUCCCUUGGGUGCRUCCUCCACUGGCCAGGUGAGUACCUGGCUGCAUCACGACCAUGAGGGAAGAGGGAGGAUCUGUCUGUGAUCUAAUGGAGUAGGUGACAUGGAAGUAGGGGAGGGACAUGUCACAUCUUGGGGGUGACACCCCCAACACUCUCAGGUUCAGACAGGGCAGGCAGGGAAGACUGCCCAGAGAAAGCACCUGAGCUGCUGGCCUGGGCUUCCUGCCUCCAAGGGGGAGCUUGGGCAAUCUCUGUGCCACUGUUUUCCUCCCCGAGCCUCUCUGGGAGCAUGAGCAGGGGCUGUGAGCCUCGAAGAGUGCUUGGGGACCCUGGAGCAGUCCUCUUCUCCAGUCUCCACAUUCCUUCUCUUGUCUUGCUUCCCAGGAGCAGCAAGUCCUAUGCAUUCAGCCSCAUGCAGAGAGCAUCCUUAGCCUGAAAGGGUUUGCACCCUCCUCUCUGCCCGAAUCUAUGCAAGAAUUAGAGCUGCAGCCGCAGGUGCUGGAGGAAACAGCCAUUUCCCCUGCAGUGUCACCCCUCUUGGAUGCCCUGUUGGGACCGGAGCCCAGCAGCUCGGCGCCCCAUGGCACGGGACCCCCUGAGGAGGAGGGUCUCAUCUGGGAUCCCUCCGAGACCUCCAUGAUGUUGCUGCCGCCACGGGGGGCUGGCAGCCUGGGGGGGACGGUCAACUUGAUCCUGAGCAUCAGCAAGAAGGGAGAGAAGAAGCAGCCACAGCUGGUGUUGAGCAGAGAACGGCCCGGGGAGGAGGCUCCGCAGAUGGCCUGCGCCUCUUUGCAUAUGGAGGAGUGCUAUGGAGAAGGGGCCUGGAAAACCUCUGCCGUGGUGCAGCCAGCAAAGCAAGCACCUGCCGCAGUGUGCCGCCCUCUGGCAUCAAGCGCCGUGGCCGCUGUGGCCUCCCACACCCUGCCCAAGGCCGGCCCCAGCUCCAUCUUCAACAGCCUGCAGAGGAAGGAGAAGGUGAAGGCUGAGCAUGCGCGGCUGCUGACGCUGCAGGGCGUCAUGGGCCCCAGCUCCCUGCAGCCCCUGCCCGAGGAGAGGCAUGGCCCCAGCAACACGUGGCCUUUGAAGUGCGGCCGGAGGAAGGCGGCCCCGGGGACGCCUGGCCCCCAGCUCGAGGAGCUGCUGCUCUACGUGAAGAACCCGCUGGUGCGGGACAUUGACGCAGAGUGCGGGGCUGCCCCCGGGGACCCCAAACCCAGCCUCCCCCACCAUGGCAGGGGGCCCAGUGCCGUGCAGCCCACUGCCGGGCCAAAAAACACCUGCCCCCACCUCUCGCUCGGGUCUGUCCUCAGCCUGGAGCUGCCCAAGGACUUGGCCGUCCUGGGCUGCCUCCGAGGCACCGCGGUGGUGGCACAGCAGGAGGAGGCAGAGGGGAAGGAGAAGAGGCAGGGCAGGGGGGCAAAGCGGUUGGAGGCUGCAGGAGCAAGCGGGCCUGGACAGCAGAAGGAGGAUGUGCAUGGACACAGUCCCCAGGGGCCAGGCGAAGGCCUGGGGAAGCCCCCCAAGGGCGAGCGAGGAACAUGGUUCGAAGAGGUGAGCUUCAACCCUAGCUACAGCCGGCAGAAAGCACGGGGCUUGGAGGUGGCCUGCCGCACCAUGGAGGAGCGGAAGAGCCCCGGCAGCGCCGAUGAAGAUUUGCUGGACUUCAGGCUGAACCGACUGUCCCGCAUCAGCGUGCUGCACAAGCAGGUCGGCCAGGAGUGGGACAAGCUAGCAGCCAGGCUGGGCCGGGAUGGCAGCUCCGGCACUGCGGGAGCUGAGAGAGCAGCCGGCUGCAAGGCCAGGCUGCGGGAAGCUGCUUGCGUUGAGCUCAGGUCCUCUCCCACCGCCCUGGCCACCAGGGCGGGUGCUGCCACUGGCAUUGCCCGGCCGGAGCGGCCCGCCGGCAGCGGGAAGUCCGGCGAGGAAGUCCUGGCGGGACUGUCCGGCGGGGGCCCGGACUCCCCUCCUGCCACCAACCAGGGCCCCCGAGCCACCCCCCAGCUCUCCAUGUUCGCCUGUGAGCUGGGCUGCCGGCAGCGCAGCCCUGAGACCAUGGGCCUGGCGGAGAUCUGCCACCCGGCCCACAGGCUGUUUGAGGAGGAGGAGGAGGAGCUGCAGGCCAUCUGGGACCAAGCAAAAGAGCAGACGGUGCCGAGCCCACGGGCAGAGAGCGGCGCCCGACCCAUGCCGGUCAGCGGGACAGGCAGCCUACAGAGCCCUGACAUUGCCGGCGGGCCCCUGAUCCUCUCGGCAACUAAUAACAUGCUGGUGGCCAAGUUCACCCUUCCCACCUCUGCCCAGCUGCUCCACAGCCCAGCUGGAGAAAAGGGCCCCAGUGACAGGCACAAGGGCAGUGGCAGCCCGAGCAGGUGUGGGGCAGCCCUUCCCUGCACGGAGGCGCCCCAUGGCACAGGGCGGUCCAUGUCCGCAGCAUGGGCGGAGAGCCCCAGCACACGGGAUCGACAUCAGGAUGAGGAGCGAGAGGGCAGCAAGGCUCCCUCCGGUAAAAUGGAGUUUCAGAUGAUGGAGGGGACACUGGAGAGGAAGCACGUGCUGCAGACAGGAGGUAGAAAGGCAACCUGCCGUGCCUGGAGCCUGUUCCAUGCAGUGCUGAUGAGGCAGACGCUGUGCUUCUACCAGGACCGGAGGGACAGCCUUAAGGUACCAUGGGGUGGGCGACACAGCAGGAACGGAGCAGGUGCAGGAUGGGGAAGGCAGCAGCGUCCAGGCCUGGAGCCAAGCAGACUUGGGUCCUUUAUUCGUUCUCCCUGCUUCUCCCAUGCCUUCAGCCUUGGGGAGCCCAGCUGGCCCUUCUGGGGCCAGGAGGGGGCUGGCUGGGGGGAGCGGUGCGGCCGGGGGGCUACCGGGGGGCUCCCUCACCUGUGUCUAUGCCAGCUCUGGAAAGGGGAGCCAGCAAACCCCACUGUUGCUUUUGCUGUUCUCCGUGCUGCAGAGCUCCGUGGUGGCCCUUCCCCUGAACCUCUCUGGGGCGGUCUGCACUUCAGACACAGAGUACACCAAAAAGACCAACUGCUUCAGGCUACAGUGAGUAACUCCAGCCCAUGA